AUAAAUUGUCUAUUUUUCUUUUAGAACUCUUACACAAUGAGUUUUAUGUCACAUUCUAUAUGAAUAAAGCAAUAUCAGUAUGUAUAAGCUCUGUAGUUCUACAUCCUAUUCAAAUGUGUCAAAUGCUAGUAGUUGAUCAUAUAUUGAAAUUUGUAUAUCAUCUAUAUCAAUUGAUUAACAUGUUGCUGGUUAACAAAAGUGUACAGAACCCUUUAGUGUUUUCCUCUGCCUUUUUAGUAAUUGUAACAUGGUCUAUCAGCCAAAUAAAAUUAGUCAAUUGUUGUCAUUCAAUACCAGAAACACAAACUAGUUUUGUUAGUAUGUGUCUAAUAUACAAGUUCAUCUGUCCAAACUAAUGUUCCCUCUUUCGCAUGUAUUUGCAUAUGCACUGUUUCUCCAGCAAAUUAAUGUCUAAUGCUCUCUUUCUUUGAUGUUUUGGGGGUUCUCAUUUUGGUUUCAAAGCCAAAUUCCUCAGCACCCUUCUCCAGCAAACCAACGAAGACCAGGAGGUUGACGAACCAGGCGGGAAUGACAAAGAGCCUGCGGAGGAGUCAGAGGGAUUGAUGAGUCAAGGCGAGGGAGAAUCGUUUGGAUUUGAACAGUUACAUGAUUAGUUACAUGAACAGUUACAUAGUCAGUUACGUUGCUUUCAAUAGUUACUUGACUAGUUACAUAUUAUCAUUUGGAUUGUGUAAUUAUUAUGUGUACCUGACUUGUGUAACUACAUUAAACUACAUAUAUAACUAUCCAUGUAACUAUAGAUGGUCAGCUACAUUUGCAUUUAUUAGUUACAUGUCCAGUUACUUUUGCAUUUGAGUAUGUUGUUAUGGCCAAGAAGCAUAAAGUGUCUGUCGCGGUUCAACAACAUGUUAAAAGCAGCGGAACGUUGCCGUCGCGGUGCAGCGGCACGCUGCAAUUAUUAUUUGCUUGACUUAUAUAACUAUCUAUGUAACUAUCUAUGUAACUGUCCACGUAACCAUGUAACUGUCCGCGGUACCAUGUAACUAUCCAUGUAACUAUCCAUUUAACUAUCCACGUAACUAUAUAACUAUGCAUGUAACUAUGUAUGUAAUUAUCCAUAUAUGUAACUAUCUAUGUAACUAUCCAUGUAACUAUUCAUCUAUGUAACUAUGUAACUAUCCAUGUAACUAUCCAUAUAACUAUUCAUAUAUGUAACUAUCUAUGUAACUAUGCAUGUAACUACCCAUAUAACUAUCUAUGUAACUAUGUAUGUAACUAUCCAUAUAACUACAGAUUGAUAGUUAUAUACAUGCUACACUUGUGUAACUACAUUAACCUGCCUAUAUAACUAUCCAUCUAUAUAAUUAUUCAUGUAACUAUCCACGUAACUAUAUAUGUAACUAUCCAUCUAUGUAACUAUGCAUGUAACUAUCCAUUUAACUAUUCAUCUAUGUAACUAUGUAACUAUCCAUGUAACUAUCCAUAUAACUAUUCAUAUAUGUAACUAUCUAUGUAACUACCCAUGUAACUAUCUAUGUAACUACCCAUGUAACUAUGUAUGUAACUAUCCAUAUAACUACAGAUUAAUAGUUAUAUAUAUGCUACACUUGUGUAACUACAUUAACCUGCCUAUAUAACUAUCCAUCUAUAUAAUUAUUCAUGUAACUAUCCACGUAACUAUAUAUGUAAC
rnacentral:lncRNA from 1 species